rnacentral:rRNA from 1 species
CUACGGGAGGCAGCAGUGGGGAAUCUUAGACAAUGGGCGCAAGCCUGAUCUAGCCAUGCMGCGUGWGUGAUGAAGGUCUUASGAUCGUAAAGCUCUUUCGCYGGGGAAGAUAAUGACUGUACCYRGUAAAGAARYCCCGGCUAACUCCGUGCCAGCAGCCGCGGUAAUACGGAGGGGRCUAGCGUUGUUCGGAAUUACUGGGCGUAAAGCGCGCGUAGGCGGAUYAGCAAGUYRGRGGUGAAAUCCCGGGGCUCAACCCYGGAACUGCCUCCAAAACUGYUGGUCUAGAGUUCGAGAGAGGUGAGUGGAAUUCCGAGUGUAGAGGUGAAAUUCGUAGAUAUUCGGAGGAACACCAGUGGCGAAGGCGGCUCACUGGCUCGAUACUGACGCUGAGGUGCGAAAGUGUGGGGAGCAAACAGGAUUAGAUACCCUGGUAGUCCWCACCGUAAACGAUGAAUSCC